rnacentral:rRNA from 1 species
UACGUAGGGUGCAAGCGUUAAUCGGAAUUACUGGGCGUAAAGCGUGCGCAGGCGGUUCGCUAAGACAGAUGUGAAAUCCCCGGGCUUAACCUGGGAACUGCAUUUGUGACUGGCGGGCUAGAGUAUGGCAGAGGGGGUAGAAUUCCACGUGUAGCAGUGAAAUGCGUAGAGAUGUGGAGGAAUACCGAUGGCGAAGGCAGCCCCUGGCCAAUACUGACGCUCAUGCACGAAAGCGUGGGAGCAAACAGG